GAUGAACGCUAGCGGCAGGCCUAACACAUGCAAGUCGAGGGGUAGAGUAAGCUUGCUUACUUGAGACCGGCGCACGGGUGCGUAACGCGUAUGCAAUCUACCUUAUACUAAGGGAUAGCCCAGAGAAAUUUGGAUUAAUACCUUAUGGUUAAUUUAGUUGGCAUCAAUUGAAUUAUAAAGAUUUAUUGGUAUAAGAUGAGCAUGCGUCCCAUUAGUUAGUUGGUAAGGUAACGGCUUACCAAGACGAUGAUGGGUAGGGGUCCUGAGAGGGAGAUCCCCCACACUGGUACUGAGACACGGACCAGACUCCUACGGGAGGCAGCAGUGAGGAAUAUUGGACAAUGGGCGCAAGCCUGAUCCAGCCAUGCCGCGUGCAGGAUGAAGCAUCUAUGGUGUGUAAACUGCUUUUGUACGGGAAGAAAAAACAUUACGAGUAAUGUACUGACGGUACCGUAAGAAUAAGGAUCGGCUAACUCCGUG
rnacentral:rRNA from 1 species